UCCCUUUGGCCUGGAAUAACACGAGGAAACUUGUGCUAAUACCGGAUAAGUCUUUACGGAGAAAGCUUUAUGCACCAUUGGAUGAGCCUGCACUUGAUUAGUUUGUUGGUAGGGUAAUGGCCUACCAAGACUGUGAUCAAUAGCUGAUUUGAGAGGAUGAUCAGCCACAUUGGGACUGAGACACGGCCCAAACUCCUACGGGAGGCAGCAGUGGGGAAUCUUGCACAAUGGAGGAAACUCUGAUGCAGCGAUGCCGCGUGAGUGAAGAAGGCCCUUGGGUUGUAAAGCUCUUUCGUCGGGGAAGAAAAUGACUGUACCCGAAUAAGAAGGUCCGGCUAACUUCGUGCCAGCAGCCGCGGUAAUACGAAGGGACCUAGCGUAGUUCGGAAUUACUGGGCUUAAAGAGUUCGUAGGUGGUUGAAAAAGUUGGUGGUGAAAUCCCAGAGCUUAACUCUGGAACUGCCAUCAAAACUUUUCAGCUAGAGUUUGAUAGAGGAAAGCAGAAUUUCUAGUGUAGAGGUGAAAUUCGUAGAUAUUAGAAAGAAUACCAAUUGCGAAGGCAGCUUUCUGGAUCAUUACUGACACUGAGGAACGAAAGCAUGGGUAGCGAAGAGGAUUAGAUACCCUCGUAGUCCAUGCCGUAAACGAUGUGUGUUAGACGUUGGAAAUUUAUUUUCAGUGUCGCAGCGAAAGCGAUAAACACACCGCCUGGGGAGUACGACCGCAAGGUUAAAACUCAAAUGAAUUGACGGGGACCCGCACAAGUAGUGGAGCAUGUGGUUUAAUUCGAAGAUACGCGCAGAACCUUACCAACACUUGACAUGUUCG
rnacentral:rRNA from 1 species